rnacentral:misc_RNA from 1 species
GAUGAAGAACGCAGCGAAAUGCGAUAAGUAAUGUGAAUUGCAGAAUUUAGUGAAUCAUCGAAUCUUUGAACGCACAUUGCGCCCACUGGUAUUCCGGUGGGCAUGCCUGUUCGAGCGUCAUUAUCCUCCCUCAAACCCCGGGUUUGGUGUUGGACCCAAGUUGUGUGAACAACUGGUCUCAAAGACAAUGACGGCGUCCGUGGGACCCUCGGUGCAACGAGCUUUUAGGAGCACGCAUCGAGUUGCAAGGACCUUCCGGGCCGGUCUCCUUUACCAUUUUACAAGGUUGACCUCGGAUCAGGUAGGAAUACCCGCUGAACUUAAGCAUAUCAAUAAGCGGAGGA